AUUGAACGCUGGCGGCAUGCUUUACACAUGCAAGUCGAACGGUAACAGGCCUUCGGGUGCUGACGAGUGGCGAACGGGUGAGUAAUGCAUCGGAACGUGCCCAGAGGUGGGGGAUAACGCGGCGAAAGCUGUGCUAAUACCGCAUGUGAUCUGAGGAUGAAAGCGGGGGACCAGGCAGCAAUGUUUGGCCUCGCGCCUUUGGAGCGGCCGAUGUCAGAUUAGGUAGUUGGUGGGGUAAAGGCCUACCAAGCCGACGAUCUGUAGCUGGUCUGAGAGGACGACCAGCCACACUGGGACUGAGACACGGCCCAGACUCCUACGGGAGGCAGCAGUGGGGAAUUUUGGACAAUGGGCGCAAGCCUGAUCCAGCAAUGCCGCGUGCGGGAAGAAGGCCUUCGGGUUGUAAACCGCUUUUGUACGGAACGAAAAGGCUCUGGCUAAUACCUGGGGCUGAUGACGGUACCGUAAGAAUAAGCACCGGCUAACUACGUG
rnacentral:rRNA from 1 species